rnacentral:rRNA from 1 species
GAUGAACGCUGGCGGCGUGCUUAACACAUGCAAGUCGAACGAUGAAGCCCAGCUUGCUGGGUGGAUUAGUGGCGAACGGGUGAGUAACACGUGAGUAACCUGCCCUUGACUCUGGGAUAAGCCCGGGAAACUGGGUCUAAUACCGGAUAGGAGCGCCUGUCGCAUGACGGGUGUUGGAAAGAUUUUUCGGUCAUGGAUGGACUCGCGGCCUAUCAGCUUGUUGGUGAGGUAUGGCUCACCAAGGCGACGACGGGUAGCCGGCCUGAGAGGGUGACCGGCCACACUGGGACUGAGACACGGCCCAGACUCCUACGGGAGGCAGCAGUGGGGAAUAUUGCACAAUGGGCGGAAGCCUGAUGCAGCGACGCCGCGUGAGGGAUGACGGCCUUCGGGUUGUAAACCUUCUUUUCAAGUAAGGGAAAG